GUCCAAGAAGCCUUGAGCUCCUUAAAAAAAAGUAAGCCUUUCUUCUUUUUGAACCAAGAAUGCAAGCUUCACCAAAAGAGAAGAAUUGGAACCAAGAAAGACUGGGAUUCGGUUUAAUUUAAACUUAGAAUUUAUAAGUGAGAGAAUGAUUGCAGCCUUGGCAGGAUGUAGGUAUUUCCAGAGGGUGUGCUCUCUCAGAGAGCAGAAGCCAAGUCUAAGCUGUGUCUGGACAACGCCUAGUAGUGUCCCAGAUUCUUUGGGAACACGACAUCUGCGUUUUUCCAAGCCCUUACCUACAGAAAGGCGCCUAUUUUCCGUUACGGUAGAUCUGGCCUGAACUUCACUGCCUUGCAAGGGCGGGGUGGGCCAGGGCUGGCCAGGAUAUCUGCCAACAAGAGACACCUGGGCGCCGUAGUUGCUGGAGAAGCCCCUGGGACCCCAGGACGCAGCAAAUCCAAACUGGAACUGACUGUCGCCAAUUUUCCGACGCUGCCUCAGAGUGUUUUGAGGGGUGGGCUCCCUCCACCCAAGAAGAUGUGCAGGUGGUUGGGGCCAGGCCACAACUCCACAAGGUCUGCAAGUACCUAGCUGCCCAAGGCCAGGCGAGAGGGACAUACUACUCAUGCGCACUGGAUGUGCUUCAUGGUAGCCAGGGUUCUGUAACAGAAUAUGGGUUCCGGAGAGGCAGGGUCACCUGAGAGGGCUCUUGUGGGAACAAGGUGGCUGAGUAAUUGCAAGCCCUGACCUAUGCAAUGGUGCCUGUUCCCUCUGGAGGCAGAUCUGGAGGGAACUCACUGCCUUGACGGGGCGGGGCGGGCAGACUGGCUGAGAUGUCCUCCAAUAAGAGACGCCUCUGUGCUCUGGUUGCCGGAGAAGUCCCUGGUCCCCAAGAGGCAGCACGUGCGAGUGGCAACUGACUGCUGCCAAUCUGCAGUUGCAAAUUUCUUUUGGGUCGGUAGGGGCAGGGUGACCCUGGCAAAUACUGAUGUUUUCUUCCCUGUAGUCUUACCUUUUCCAGAAUGUCUUAUCAAUGAAAUCAUCAGUAUGUAGCUAUUUGAGGCUGCCUGUGUUCUCUUAGGAUAAUAUGUUUGACAAUUACCCAUGUGGUUGUGUGUAUCAGCAGUUUGUUCCUUUUUAUUAUUAAAGUGUAGUUCAUUGUAUGAAUGUUCCAGUUUUGUUGAUCCAUUCACCAUUUGAAGGUAUUUAUUUCCAGUUUUUAAAGAUUAUGAAUAAAGCUGCUUAUAAAUAUUCACUUAGAGGUUUUUGGGAAAAUGUAAGUUGUCACUUCUCUUGGGUACACACUUAAAUGUGGGAUCGCUGCGUUGGGAAAGCAAGUAGAGGUAUCUCAGAUGCUGAGGUGACAGAAACUAGAAUUCAGAGCUUAUCAAAGAGAAGGGAUUUUGUAAACACUCCAGAUGUUUCGCUGAAACUUUGGAUGGGUUAAGCCUUAGGAGUAGGCACAAACUAAGAACAGAGGAAACUUCCUGUUUCUUUAAUAAAUAAAGCUAUUUUUUAAAAAGAAAUGUAAAACAGACAUCAUACUAAAUUGUGAACUCUUGAAACCUUUCGAUCAAGAACGAGACAAGC
ensembl:lncRNA